GAAUCCCGUCUUUGACAUGGACUACCUGUACGUUGUGGUGCGCUCUCAAAGAGUCGAGUUGUUUGGGAAUGCAGCUCAAAAUGGGUGGUAAAUGCCAUCUAAAGCUAAAUAUUGGCGAGAGACCGAUAGCGAACAAGUACCGUGAGGGAAAGAUGAAAAGAACUUUGGAAAGAGAGUUAAACAGUACGUGAAAUUGCUGAAAGGGAAACGCUUGAAGUCAGUCACGUUGGCUAGAAAUCAGCCUUGCUUUUGCUUGGUGUACUUUCUGGUUGACGGGUCAGCAUCAAUUUUGACCAUUGGAUAAAGUCUUUGGGAAUGUGGCAUCCUUUUGGAUGUGUUAUAGCCCAUUGUCGGAUACGGUGGUUGGGAUUGAGGAACUCAGCAUGCCGCAAGGCCGGGUCAUUUUUGACCACGCUCGUGCUUAGGAUGCUGGCAUAAUGGCUUUAAUCGACCCGUCUUGAAACACGGACCAAGGAGUCUAACAUGCCUGCGAGUGUUUGGGUGGAAAACCCAUGCGCGCAAUGAAAGUGAAAGUUGAGAUCCCUUUCAAAGGGGGAGCAUUGACGCCCGGACCAGACCUUCUGUGACGGAUCCGCGGUAGAGCAUGUAUGUUGGGACCCGAAAGAUGGUGAACUAUGCCUGAAUAGGGUGAAGCCAGAGGAAACUCUGGUGGAGGCUCGUAGCGAUUCUGACGUGCAAAUCGAUCGUCAAAUUUGGGUAUAGGGGCGAAAGACUAAUCGAACCAUCUAGUAGCUGGUUCCUGCC
rnacentral:rRNA from 1 species